GCGAUUUUCAGUUGAAAGUACACAUACAAUAAGUGAAACGCUGCUGUGAGCAAAACUAAACUAAGCUAAGCGCCACUCUCACGCACACACACAUUCCAUAAUUUGUUAUAAAUCAAUUGAUUCAAGCAGCAUUGUGAUAAACGCAGCGAACGUGCAAGAAAAACGCGCUAAGAAAUCUACUUCACAAUACUUAACAAAAAGCUAAUCGAAACACGCUGUGCUCAACUGUGCCGUAACACGGGACAUUGAAAAUACGAAGAAGAAGCAGAAGCGAACGAAAAAAAAACGUUCCAGCUAAACUGAGCGCAAGUGGCAUAUAACACAGUUCAAUAUAACAGUAAACCAAGCAUAAUUACAUAAUCAAAUAGAAAAAAAACGAAACGAAAACAAACAAUAUAAGCUACAACUAGAUCAAACUUCAAGUGCAGCAUUACUUAAUCAACGACCCCGGAAACGCCUAAAAGCAAACUAAGAAAAAACCACAAAACACCUUAAAACAAAAUAACCAAAAAACCUAUGUACCUGCAACAAAGAAAUUGAGCAAAUACACAAAUACAUAAAAACACUCUGACACACACACCUACGGCAAAGCGCAGCAAUUAUAAGUAUUUAACAAAAUUUAGCAAGAACAAAUUACUUUUAAAAAUAUACAACAA